UACGGAGGGGGCGAGCGUUAUUCGGAAUUAUUGGGCGUAAAGGGCGCGUAGGCGGCUGAACAAGUCAAAGGUGAAAUCCCUCGGCUCAACUGAGGAACUGCCUUUGAAACUGUUCGGCUUGAGGCCGGGAGGGGGUAGCGGAAUUCCCAGUGUAGCGGUGAAAUGCGUAGAUAUUGGGAGGAACACCAGUGGCGAAGGCGGCUAGCUGGACCGGUUCUGACGCUGAGGCACGAAAGCGUGGGUAGCAAACAGG
rnacentral:rRNA from 1 species